rnacentral:rRNA from 1 species
UGCGUAGGCGGAUUAUUAAGUCAGUGGUGAAAGUUUACGGCUCAACCGUAAAAGUGCCAUUGAUACUGGUAGUCUUGAGUACAGUAGAGGUAGGCGGAAUUUAUGGUGUAGCGGUGAAAUGCAUAGAUACCAUAAAGAACACCGAUAGCGAAGGCAGCUUACUAUACUGAGACUGGCGCUGAGGCACGAAAGCGUGGGGAGCGAACAGGAUUAGAUACCCUGGUAGUCC